UCCAGACUCCUACGGGAGGCAGCAGUGAGGAAUAUUGGUCAAUGGACGAGAGUCUGAACCAGCCAAGUAGCGUGAAGGAUGACUGCCCUAUGGGUUGUAAACUUCUUUUAUAUGGGAAUAAAACAGGGUAUGCAUACCCUCUUGUAUGUACCAUAUGAAUAAGGAUCGGCUAACUCCGUGCCAGCAGCCGCGGUAAUACGGGGGAUGCAAGCGUUAUCCGGAUUUAUUGGGUUUAAAGGGUGCGUAGGCUGUGAGGUAAGUCAGCGGUGAAAUGCCCCCGCUCAACGGGGUGAAGUGCCAUUGAUACUGCCUUGCUGGAAUGCGGAUGCCGUGGGAGGAAUGUGUGGUGUAGCGGUGAAAUGCAUAGAUAUCACGCAGAACUCCGAUUGCGAAGGCAGCAUACCGGCGCCCAACUGACGCUGAAGCACGAAAGCGUGGGUAUCGAACAGGAUUAGAUACCCGUGUA
rnacentral:rRNA from 1 species